AGAGGCUAUUUGAACUUUUUGUCUACCCGAAAACCGUUCUUAAUCACAGUCAACCCCAAUUGUGGACACAUGGUUUCCCUGGAAGCGUGCUCUGAACAGAAGCUGCCCAUCCCGCUGCGCUCUCCGUGGGAGCGUGCCCCCAAAGUCCUGUCCCUCCGUGUGACUUAAGCUUCGGUCCACCUGAGAACACCGCUCAGGAUCCUUCGGUGUCCUCGCCGGGAAAGGAAAUCUGUUAGUUUGGAAAUGAGGAAAGUUCGGUUUGUGGUGGCGAUCUUGCCUGACAGACUCCCUAGUUAUUUUAUCUUAACAUUCUCGUAAACAAAUGGCCCUCAAAUGAGGUCCUUUUGCGUGCAAAGUUCUCCUAGUACAGCGAUAUCAAGAGUCCCUGAAAGACGCCUCUCCCCUGCCCUGGGCCACGACUUGUCCUUGGCACACAAAGGCCAUCACUGGCGGCGCGCAGCUGGCCCUGAGAUUUCUCGCGUACAAACUCCUCCAGGUGGCGCCGCCCACUGGAAGGCGCAGGGCCCCGCUGGCCUCUUCGGAGGCCCUAAGGGGCUCUGGGCCCAGAGCCAAGCUGGGGCAAACACUGGGGACAGGAGGGUGGGUCGCUCUGAUUCCCAGAGGGAGAUGGGGAAAGAGAAGGGGGAGGCAACUCGCUGCGACUGAGAACUCUAUGGGGUUGAAAAGUUCUUGUGCUGUCGCCUCCCCCUUGCGUGCGGAGCUGUGCCUUGCGUGCAUCGCUUCUGCAGAGUCGGCUUCAGUCAUAUCCCUCGGCGCUUCUCACGGCACCUGACACGCAGGGGCGGCGACGGGGGCGGCGGCUAAGGGCUGGGUGCUGGCCGCCACCACCCUCUGCAGCGCACGCACAGCCGCGCCCGCCGGGCCAGAGUGUGCAGACCUUCAGGCCACCACCCGCAGGCCAGAUCCAGAAGUGAGCUGGCUGGAGAUCCGGACGCAUCUUUCAAAGGGGAAGCUGGAGGCGUCUGGGUCAGCGUUGCCCUCUGGCUGGCUGCACCCAUUCCUACUGGCUGGUACAAAGUAUUUUUAAGAGAAAAGGUCUUGACAACAAGGCUGGGGAAAAGGCAAGACCGUGGGAAGCGUGGGAUGUGUCUUAGUUAACCAGAGGAGGAAACUGGGGUUCAGAGAAGUUAUAUGACUUACUCAAGAUAGCACAGCUAUCAAUCAAAAGGUGGAGCCAGGAUCUGAACCCACAAAGUCUCAUUCCAGAUCUAUCAUACGAGUUUAUGUGGAAGAAAAUCCUCAGACAAAGGCACACACGCCAUCUUGCCUGUCUGCUCUCCCCAUCUCUAUGGCUUAAAAAAAAAUCAGCUGGAAGACUUUAAAAAUUUUUUAUUUUUUAAGCACAGCUGACAUACAAUAUUAUAUUAGUUUCAAGUGUACAAUAUAACGUUAGAUACUUGUGUCAUAGGAAAUAAUCACCCUGGAAGAAUUUUUUUUUGAUAGUUGUGUUUGCUUGCAGAAUUGAGGAUUGUGAGGAUCACACAGAAGAACUAUUACGCUCACUGUUUGCGCUUCCAUUGGUUUUGCAUGAGGGGGGCCUAUGGACUGUGCCUCCGCUAGAUGUUGGGAUCUGGUUAAAUUUUAAAGAAAAAUAAAGGGAUGUCUGAAAAA